UACGUAGGGGGCAAGCGUUAUCCGGAUUUACUGGGUGUAAAGGGAGCGUAGACGGCUGUGCAAGUCUGGAGUGAAAGGCAUGGGCUCAACCUGUGGACUGCUUUGGAAACUGUGCGGCUUGAGUGUCGGAGAGGCAAGUGGAAUUCCUAGUGUAGCGGUGAAAUGCGUAGAUAUUAGGAGGAACACCAGUGGCGAAGGCGGCUUGCUGGACGAUGACUGACGUUGAGGCUCGAAAGCGUGGGGAGCAAACAGGG
rnacentral:rRNA from 1 species